ensembl:lncRNA
AUUUAAAAUAAGAACACACGCUUUCAUACAUUUAUGCCUUCAUAAUCAUGUGAUUCAUAGACACUACUGAAUAUUAAUUCAGUCACGGAAAUUAAAAGGAAAUGCAAUAACAAGGAGGUGCAAAUUAGUCUGUGGUCAGGCAGUGGUAAUCAGUGGUCAGGCAGUGGUAGUCGGUGGUCAGGCAGUGGUAGUCGGUGGUCAGGCAGUGGUAAUCAGUGGUAAUCAGUGGUCAGGCAGUGGUUGUCAGUGGUCAGGCAGUGGUAGUCGGUGGUCAGGCAGUGGUAGUCGGUGGUCAGGCAGUGGUAGUCGGUGUUCAGGCAGUGGUAGUCGGUGGUCAGGCAGUGGUAGUCGUGGUAGUCCGUGGUCAGUCAGUGGUAGUCAGUGGUCAGGCAGUGGUAGUCAGUGGUAGUCGGUGGUCAGGCAGUGGUAAUCAGUGGUCAGGCAGUGGUAGUCAGUGGUCAGGCAGUGGUAGUCAGUGGUCAGGCAGUGGUCAGGCAGUGGUAGUCAGUGGUCAGGCAGUGGUAGUCCGUGGUCCGGCAGUGGUAGUCCGUGGUCCGGCAGUGGUAGUCAGUGGUCAGGCAGUGGUAGUCAGUGGUCAGGCAGUGGUAGUCAGUGGUCAGGCAGUGGUAAUCAGUGGUAAUCAGUGGU